GCGCAGCAGGCGAGAAACUUCACAAUGUGCGAAGGCACGAUGAGGGAAUCCCAAGUGCUUGCACGUAAGUGUAAGCUGUUUCUCUGUCUAAAACGCAGAGAGAGUAAGGGCUGGGUAAGACGGGUGCCAGCCGCCGCGGUAAUACCUGCAGCUCGAGUGGUGACCGUUAUUAUUGGGCCUAAAACGUCCGUAGCCGGUUUAAUAAAUGCCUGGGUAAAUCGGACCGCUUAACGGUUCGAAUUCCGGGUAGACUGUUAAACUUGAGACCGGGAGAAGUUAGAGGUACUCCUGGGGUAGAGGUGAAAUUCUGUAAUCCUAGGGGACCACCAGUGGCGAAGGCGUCUAACUAGAACGGGUCUGACGGUGAGGGACGAAGCCCUGGGGCGCAAACGGGAUUAGAUACCCGU
rnacentral:rRNA from 1 species